rnacentral:rRNA from 1 species
UACGUAGGGUGCAAGCGUUGUCCGGAAUUAUUGGGCGUAAAGAGCUCGUGGGCGGUUCGUCGCGUCGGCUGUGAAAUCCCGAGGCUCAACCUCGGGUCUGCAGUCGAUACGGGCGGACUGGAGUUCGGCAGGGGAGACUGGAAUUCCUGGUGUAGCGGUGAAAUGCGCAGAUAUCAGGAGGAACACCGGUGGCGAAGGCGGGUCUCUGGGCCGAUACUGACGCUGAGGAGCGAAAGCGUGGGGAGCGAACAGG